rnacentral:misc_RNA from 1 species
AUUUGCUCUUAAUGCAACAAGUUGGAAGUUUCAAUAUUAUUCAGAAAAAAAACAUAUUGAAUGCAUUUUCCUCUUGCAGGCAUCUUCAAUUCAAUGUGGAUGGUUCCAUUGGAAGGGAGAAGUGAGCAUUGAUGAUGAAGAAUUCACAGUAAAUUAGAGUGGUGCCAAAUGGAGUAUGGUGUGCUGUUGCGAAUUUACCAAUAUAACAUGGUUUUGUGGACGAGGCAACCCUCGUAUAGACUCAGUGCAUAAUGAGAGAUGGUGAUGCCAGGAUCGUGGGACUAGAGAUAUCAUAUGAGGCAAUGAAAUCAUUGAUCAUAUACCAAAUUAGCACAAUUUUGACAAUAUGCACUAUUUGGAUCUCCUGGGAUCGUCAUAGCUGCCAGAAACUAUCACAUGUAUUUGCUUCUAGUUUCUUGAAAGUCCAAUAUUUUACGAUCUCGAGGUUUCCUGAAGAGUUCCAAUUUGUAAUUUGAUUUCAUAAAUAUAUCGUUG